rnacentral:rRNA from 1 species
GACGAACGCUGGCGGCGGGCCUAACACAUGCAAGUCGAACGGAAACGCCCUGCUAUUGUGCGGUGCUCGAUUGGCGAACGCGGGAGUAUGACGUGAGUAACCUGCCCUAGACUUUCGUAGAGGUUCAGGAAACUGGGGCUACUACCGUACAGCAUCUCCUGCACCAGGGAGGGCGUUGGAAAUUCGCGGCUGGCGGGGUUGGACGGGCGGCUUAUCAGCUAGUUAGUUGGGUAGGUGCUUACCAAGCCUUUGACGGGUAGCCGGCCUGGGAGGGUGACCGGCCACAUUGGGACUGAGGUACGGCCCAGAGUGCUACGGGGGGCAGCAGUGGGGAGUAUUGCACAAUGGGCGGAAGCCUGAUGCAGCAACGCCGCGUGCGGGAUGACGGCCUUCGGGUUGUAAACCGCUUUCGCCUGUGACGAAGCGUGAGUGACGGUAAUGGGUAAAGAAGCACCGGCUAACUACGUG